UAAAAAUUAAGGCUAAGUGUAUGUUCAUCAAAGGAGUGUAAUGAUUGGUGUUGCAGUUCACGAAUUCGCUAGCAACUUUUAUCCCUGACGCUCUCUUAUUUCGGCGAUUUCUGCUAUUAAUCACCGUAGAUGUUACACGGUCAUUUGUCGCAAAUGAGACUUGUCCACAGGCAAAAUUUCAACGAAACAAUCAGUAUGAAGUUUGUGCCAAUGGUCUCCAUUGUGGAUUCCCCAGAUGUUGACCUUACCUUAUUUCUGACCUUCAGAGCCAUGUAAUAUGGAGUAUUUUCAUAUAGUGUGAGUCUGUGACAAGAUUUCGAGGUGGAUAAUGCCCAGUGUUGUGGUUUCGUCAGUACUUUUCCAGGCCAGAAGCUGCAGCCGUCAAUCCACAGUUAUAGCUCCAGAAGUCAGUCACCAGCAGCAGAUGUCACAUGGUUAUAAAAUGGGAAACUUGAAGAAUAAGCUACUAGUGGUUUGGAUACACAUUUG